AAUGCUUGGGCCUUGUUCAAAGCUCAACAUGGAAUCCAAGAAACGGAGGGAGGUGCAGACUAAUGAGAAAGGUGAGACAAAAGGAGGUUCGUUUGGGCCUUAGGCCCAAACCUAAACCUUAUCCUAAACCGAGCCUGUAACGAUAAGUAGGUAUAAGCUCUUAUUCCAGUUGCGACCGACGAACACGAAUGAAAAAAUUCAAACCGAAGAACUCUUACAAACCGAUGCUCACUUUCCCCCAUCUUCACGGAUUAGUCCAAACUCCAGUUAUGACCUGAACUCCUCGUUUGCGUGCUUAGGAUUACUAACAAUAUCACCAUGUUUUCGUGCUUUGUGGAAUUCAUCUUUUUCAAUCCGUUUCUUCAUGAAUUGUGUUCAGCAAUGGAUUUGUGCUUGGAAUAGAGCCAUAAUCAAAACGUCUGAAUCAUAUUAAGGAGAAGGAAGAAUACUUACCGAAUUUUUAAGCUCCGACACGAAGGCUCUGUCGCGACGCAUUAGUGCUUUUGUGUGUGUUAUUGAUGCAUUUUCGGUACUUCGGCUCAUUGCUACGGUGUGUUGCCACUUUAUUGCAUAUGAAGAGUGCAAAGAAGUUCACCGAAGAGUGCAAAAUCUGAAUGAAGAACGAAGGAUUUGAAGAGUAAAGAAUGUAGAAUGCAAAAAAUUAAGAAUCCAGAAAUGUGAAGAAUGGAGAAAAGCCAAGAAUCCCGAAUCUGAACUGCAAUGAGUUAUUAUAUAGACUGCUUCAUCUCCAUUCUGUUAGAGAUUCACAUGAAAUUUAGUUGAAAUGAGCCUCAAAUGAAUAAGUUAGUUAGCAAUUAUUUUUAGGUUAGUUAUCAAAUGAAGAUGAAACUCACACAAAAUUUAUCAGUUAGUGGGAUAUGAAUUCUAUUAGUCAGGUUUUUUUUCUCUGUGGUGCAUUUGUAUGGUUGCUUAUCAUGGAGUUCAAUUUGCUGAGAAUAUUGUUAGUGAAGUUAGAACCUAGGAAGCUAUGUUUCUGUUAGUUUUUGAUUGUGAUGUUAUGUGUGAAUCGAGUUUUCCCAGUAAGAAUCAUGUUUUCAUUCUGCUAUAAAAAUGCUGCAGGCUUUGGUUGGUGUGUUCUGCAUAAGUUGAACAAGUAGCAGGGUCAUACGAGUUUAAGAGUUACGCAGGGCCAUGUGUUCAAUGAGUUGCUGAGUUGCUUGGAUGUGGAAUUUUCCUUUAAUGUGGAACUUGCAGGAUGUUGGGCCGAUUAACUAGUCAUACAUGUGUGCAUCUGACUUAGAAAACUAGGUUGGGAGAUUGUUAAUUUAGGUUUGGACAUUUGGUUUGUAAAAAUUGUAAAGGAAAGUUGUAGUUAAAACUUGAAUGUAUUGAAUUGGAACUUAAUAAUUAUGAAAAGUUUGAUGGUUUGGAUGAAUAGAA